UCUCCUCCUUGUUGCAGCUCUCCCUUCUGCGACCUCGCUGAUAUCCUUCCGACUGUGAAUCUUGCAACAGAAACUAUCCCCAGUGGAGAAUAGGGUGGUGGAGUCAAAACACAUCAAAUUGCAGCUCAGAUGUGACACCAUAGGCUUUCAGUGCAUUUUUGCUUCUUUUAUAGAGCUUUUGCUCUGGGAUUUUGGAGCUGUGAUCUUCCUGAUGAUGUCUUUACCAUCUAACCUGGCUUUGUCUGUGGGUGGACUUCUCUGGGUACAAGCUUAAUUAGCACUUCUCCUUGCCCUGACUUUUAUUGCUCUGGGUCAGAAGGAUGUGGUGGAUGCCAUUUGCCAGCAGUAGUGAUGACUUCCUUGGGCUCAUAGGACUGCGCACAGAACGCACUUCUAUUUCAACAUCACUAAGGUAGGAGCCAAGAAUGGGCUGUUUUUUCUUAUUCUGUUUAUUCAACUGUCUUUUGUUUCUGAAGACCAA
rnacentral:lncRNA from 1 species